rnacentral:misc_RNA from 1 species
GAUGAAGAACGCAGCGAAAUGCGAUAAGUAAUGUGAAUUGCAGAAUUCAGUGAAUCAUCGAAUCUUUGAACGCACAUUGCGCCCCCUGGUAUUCCGGGGGGCAUGCCUGUCCGAGCGUCAUUACAACCCUCAAGCUCAGCUUGGUGUUGGGCCCCGCCGCCCCGGCGGGCCCUAAAGUCAGUGGCGGUGCCGUCCGGCUCCGAGCGUAGUAAUUCUUCUCGCUCUGGAGGUCCGGUCGUGUGCUCGCCAGCAACCCCCAAUUUUUUUCAGGUUGACCUCGGAUCAGGUAGGGAUACCCGCUGAACUUAGGCAUAUCAAUAAGCGGAGGA